UCCGUAGGUGGAUCAAUCAGUCAGAGGUGAAAUCCCGCAGCUUAACUGUAGAACUGCCUUUGAUACUGUUGAUCUUGAGUCAUUAUGAAGUGGUUAGAAUGUGUAGUGUAGCGGUGAAAUGCAUAGAUAUUACACAGAAUACCGAUUGCGAAGGCAGAUCACUAAUAAUGUACUGACACUGAGGGACGAAAGCGUGGGGAGCGAACAGGAUUAGAUACCCUGGUAGUCC
rnacentral:rRNA from 1 species